rnacentral:rRNA from 1 species
UAGGGAAUCUUCCACAAUGGACGCAAGUCUGAUGGAGCAACGCCGCGUGAGUGAAGAAGGUUUUCGGACCGUAAAGCUCUGUUGUUGGUGAAGAAGGAUAGAGGUAGUAACUGGCCUUUAUUUGACGGUAAUCAACCAGAAAGUCACGGCUAACUACGUGCCAGCAGCCGCGGUAAUACGUAGGUGGCAAGCGUUGUCCGGAUUUAUUGGGCGUAAAGCGAGCGCAGGCGGAAGAAUAAGUCUGAUGUGAAAGCCCUCGGCUUAACCGAGGAAUUGCAUCGGAAACUGUUUUUCUUGAGUGCAGAAGAGGAGAGUAGAACUCCAUGUGUAGCGGUGGAAUGCGUAGAUAUAUGGAAGAAUACCAGUGGCGAAGGCGGCUCUCUGGUCUGCAACUGACGCUGAGGCUCGAAAGCAUGGGUAGCGAACAGGAUUAGAUACCCUGGUAGUCCAUGCCGUAAAACGAUGAGUGCUAAGUGUUGGGAGGCUUCCGCCUCUCAGUGCUGCAGCUAACGCAUUAAGCACUCCGCCUGGGGGAGUACGACCGCAAGGUUGAA